rnacentral:misc_RNA from 1 species
AACGCACCUUGCGCUCCUUGGUAUUCCGAGGAGCAUGCCUGUUUGAGUGUCAUUAAAUUCUCAACCUAACACCUGUUUUGCAAUGGGUUUUGUUAGGCUUGGAUAUGGGGGCUUGCAGGUCCGCUCUUUUGUGGUCUGCUCCUCUGAAAUGCAUUAGUGGGUUUGUGCCCCUCAUCUAUUGGUGUGAUAAUUAUCUACGCCGUGGGUGAUGGAUUGGCCAUCAAUGAACCUGCUCAUAACCGUCCGUCUCGGACAACUUUGAUCAUUUUGACCUCAAAUCAGGUAAGACUACCCGCUGAACUUAA